rnacentral:misc_RNA from 1 species
GAUGAAGAACGUAGCGAAAUGCGAUACUUGGUGUGAAUUGCAGAAUCCCGUGAACCAUCGAGUCUUUGAACGCAAGUUGCGCCCGAAGCCAUUAGGCCUAGGGCACGCCUGCCUGGGCGUCACACGUCGUUGCCCCCCCAUCUACUCCUUCGGGAUUGCGGGGGGCGGAUGAUGGCCUCUCGUGCGCCUCGUCGCGCGGUUGGCCUAAAUGCCAAGUCCUCGGCGACGCACGCCACGACAAUCGGUGGUUGCGAAACCUCGGUUGCCUGUCGUGUGCGGUCGUCGCGCAUCGAGGGCUCGAAAAAAUUGCCGGGCUUCGGCUCGACUUUCAACGCGACCCCAGGUCAGGCGGGGUUACCCGCUGAAUUUAAGCAUAUCAAUAAGCGGAGGA